rnacentral:rRNA from 1 species
UCGAACGGUAGAGGGGCAACCCUUGAGAGUGGCGAACGGGUGAGUAAUACAUCGGAACGUGCCCAGUCGUGGGGGAUAACGUAGCGAAAGCUACGCUAAUACCGCAUACGACCUGAGGGUGAAAGCGGGGGAUCGCAAGACCUCGCGCGAUUGGAGCGGCCGAUGGCAGAUUAGGUAGUUGGUGGGGUAAAGGCCUACCAAGCCUGCGAUCUGUAGCUGGUCUGAGAGGACGACCAGCCACACUGGGACUGAGACACGGCCCAGACUCCUACGGGAGGCAGCAGUGGGGAAUUUUGGACAAUGGGCGCAAGCCUGAUCCAGCCAUACCGCGUGCGGGAAGAAGGCCUUCGGGUUGUAAACCGCUUUUGUCAGGGAAGAAAUCUUCUGGGCUAAUACCUCGGGAGGAUGACGGUACCUGAAGAAUAAGCACCGGCUAACUACGUGCCAGCAGCCGCGGUAAUACGUAGGGUGCAAGCGUUAAUCGGAAUUACUGGGCGUAAAGCGUGCGCAGGCGGUUCCAUAAGACAGAUGUGAAAUCCCCGGGCUCAACCUGGGAGCUGCAUUUGUGACUGCACGGCUGGAGUGCGGCAAAGGGGGAUGGAAUUCCGCGUGUAGCAGUGAAAUGCGUAGAUAUGCGGAGGAACACCGAUGGCGAAGGCAAUCCCCUGGGCCUGCACUGACGCUCAUGCACGAAAGCGUGGGGAGCAAACAGGAUUAGAUACCCUGGUAGUCCACGCCCUAAACGAUGUCAACUGGUUGUUGAGUGGGUUCCUACUCAGUAACGUAGCUAACGCGUGAAGUUGACCGCCUGGGGAGUACGGCCGCAAGGUU